CUCUCUCCCUCCCUACCUCAACUCAAUCCCUAGGUGGAGAAGGACUGGGGCAAGCUAUUCCAAAGAACAAAGGAGGAAUCUUGGGGAGUAGAGCAACAUGUUGGAGAAACCAGGUCACAAAAACCUUCCCUUUAGGUAGGGGUAGGGGAAGAUGGAAAAGAAGAGGUAUGAAUUGAAAGGUGGUAGCAUCUCUUAUGUGAGGCAUAGCCAUGUCAUCUCUCAUAUACAUGGAAACACAAACUUACUUAAUUGAUCUCUUUUCCCUUCGUUGAAAAGGUAAGUCAAGUUAAACAAUUCAACAUCCAAUGAAACAUGUACAGAGGAGAGACAGACAGCAAGUAAAAGACAUAUGGAAAGAGUAUCCAGGCCCUUUUACCGAAGUAGUAGAACAAUGCAGACAUUUAUUAGAAGUUUGCUCCUUUGAAAUAUUAUUAUUACACUGAAAGUUGGAAAAAAGCUAAACAUCCAUCAGAGGAGGUUGAUUACAUAAAUUAUGAAAGAUCCAUAUUUUUUAAUUCUAUGAAGCCAUAAAAUGAUAAUACUGAUAUGUAUCAUUGAACCCACCACUGAUUGUUUGAUAAAAAUUUCAGAUACCAAGAAUUACAUAUAAAUUAGAGUUGGUUUUGUAAUAUACAGCAUAGAAAUACAUACUUUUCUAUUAUUAAAUAUUUACUGAUUUCUGAAUACUUACACAUGUAUAAGAUAGGUAUUUAGAAAGAUUAAAGAGGGCAUACAGCACACAGACGUUUCUCAUUCCUAUCUCCCAUCUCCUUUCCCAGAGACAGUUUCUAAAACAAAACUGAGGAAAAUACUAACAUCAUUCGUCUAAUAAGAGCAAUGAGGUAUGUAAUACUAAUGAAUCUUAAAACAUAUCAUAUAAAAAACACUAGAUAACUGGACUAAGUAGUGCAAACGUGAAUGUCUAUCUAAAACACACACGUCGCACACACACGAUAAUGAAUGGAAGACGUCCUAGCACAUGUUUACAAACUGUUUGUGUGUUGCCGUCCUACACACCAGACGCAAAGCGCUGAAAACAACAAGCCUGUUCACAAUAGCACCAGGAACGUACAGUACACAGGAAUCAUCUGCAGGUGAUUUGUGACAACUGUAGGCAGAACAGUAAAAGCGAGAGAUACAAUGGAUGGUUUGAAAAAUCAGAGACACUCUUCUUCCUUAUCGAAUUGCAAGAUUAACGUUGUACUACGCAGACAAAGGUGUGUUCAAGAUUUGGAUCGUAAGCGAGUUCACUGAAAACUAGCGGAGGGGAAGGGCAAAUACUGGAAGGGAAUCCCCGGUGUGUUCAAGAUUUGGAUCGUAAGCGAGUUCACUGAAAACUAGCGGAGGGGAAGGGCAAAUACUGGAAGGGAAUCCCCGGUGUGACCAGGCCAGAAACACCUCUUUCACAGCAUGGGAUCUGUGCAGGUACUCGGACGCUCCCCGCAGGGCCGCCCGGGCCGGUUUCAGGCGGGCUUGCGGCCCCAAUCACUGCUCCUGUUCGCGGGGACAGGCAGGGGCUGACUGGGAGGACGUCUUGUGGAUGGCCUUGUGCUCCUCGGCGGCCUCCUCCCCCGGGUCGCCACCGCCG
rnacentral:lncRNA from 1 species